rnacentral:rRNA from 1 species
UACGAAGGGUGCAAGCGUUACUCGGAAUUACUGGGCGUAAAGCGUGCGUAGGUGGUUUGUUAAGUCGGAUGUGAAAGCCCUGGGCUCAACCUGGGAAUUGCAUUGGAUACUGGCAGGCUAGAGUGCGGUAGAGGAUGGCGGAAUUCCCGGUGUAGCAGUGAAAUGCGUAGAGAUCGGGAGGAACAUCUGUGGCGAAGGCGGCCAUCUGGACCAGCACUGACACUGAGGCACGAAAGCGUGGGGAGCAAACAGG